rnacentral:rRNA from 1 species
UUGUGAGCUCGAUGAGUAGGGCGGGACACGUGGUAUCCUGUCUGAAUAUGGGGGGACCAUCCUCCAAGGCUAAAUACUCCUGACUGACCGAUAGUGAACCAGUACCGUGAGGGAAAGGCGAAAAGAACCCCGGCGAGGGGAGUGAAAAAGAACCUGAAACCGUGUACGUACAAGCAGUGGGAGCCUCUUAAUGGGGUGACUGCGUACCUUUUGUAUAAUGGGUCAGCGACUUAUAUUCUGUAGCAAGGUUAACCGAAUAGGGGAGCCGAAGGGAAACCGAGUCUUAACUGGGCGUUAAGUUGCAGGGUAUAGACCCGAAACCCGGUGAUCUAGCCAUGGGCAGGUUGAAGGUUGGGUAACACUAACUGGAGGACCGAACCGACUAAUGUUGAAAAAUUAGCGGAUGACUUGUGGCUGGGGGUGAAAGGCCAAUCAAACCGGGAGAUAGCUGGUUCUCCCCGAAAGCUAUUUAGGUAGCGCCUCGUGAAUUCAUCUCCGGGGGUAGAGCACUGUUUCGGCAAGGGGGUCAUCCCGACUUACCAACCCGAUGCAAACUGCGAAUACCGGAGAAUGUUAUCACGGGAGACACACGGCGGGUGCUAACGUCCGUCGUGAAGAGGGAAACAACCCAGACCGCCAGCUAAGGUCCCAAAGUCAUGGUUAAGUGGGAAACGAUGUGGGAAGGCCCAGACAGCCAGGAUGUUGGCUUAGAAGCAGCCAUCAUUUAAAGAAAGCGUAAUAGCUCACUGGUCGAGUCGGCCUGCGCGGAAGAUGUAACGGGGCUAAACCAUGCACCGAAGCUGCGGCAGCGACACUAUGUGUUGUUGGGUAGGGGAGC